rnacentral:rRNA from 1 species
AUUGAACGCUGGCGGAAUGCUUUACACAUGCAAGUCGAACGGCAGCACGGACUUCGGUCUGGUGGCGAGUGGCGAACGGGUGAGUAACAUAUCGGAACGUAUCCAAUAAUGGGGGAUAACUAAUCGAAAGGUUGGCUAAUACCGCAUACGCCCUACGGGGGAAAGCAGGGGAUCUUCGGACCUUGCGUUAAUGGAGCGGCUGAUAUCUGGUUAGCUAGUUGGUGAGGUAAAGGCUCACCAAGGCGACGAUCAGUAGCUGGUCUGAGAGGACGACCAGCCACACUGGAACUGAGGCACGGUCCAGACUCCUACGGGAGGCAGCAGUGGGGAAUUUUGGACAAUGGGCGCAAGCCUGAUCCAGCCAUUCCGCGUGAGUGAAGAAGGCCUUCGGGUUGUAAAGCUCUUUCGCAAGGGAAGGAAACUUGCUUUCUAAUAAAGAGUGAGGUUGACGGUACCUUGAUAAGAAGCACCGGCUAACUACGUGCCAGCCGCCGCCGUAA